rnacentral:lncRNA from 1 species
CAUGUACGCACCUCCAUGCUCGAUCUCGCGUGCUUCGGUACAUAAAAUAUCGCAACUUUUCGCGGAUUUUCCGAAUUGCCACCUUCGACCUCUUAACGAAAACUUCGCAAUUACCAGAGAUCCGUCCGUCGGAUUUUCGAUCCGACGACACCAUUGCGUUCAGCACGUCGGGGGCAUCAAAACUACAAUCUUAUUUCGUCAGAUUUGGUCACGGAUUCGCGACGAAACCCAUCUGCUCUCUAAUUAAUCCAUAUAUCGCACAUAUACCAAUGUGUAAACCCAUUAAACCAACUUUCGCAUUAGAAAUUGACUUCCCUAC